GCCAGCGUGGUGUAGUGGUUUGAGCGUUGGACUAUGACUCUGAAGACCAAGGUUCACUUCCCAGCUUGGUG